GAUGAACGCUGGCGGCGUGCCUAAUACAUGCAAGUCGAGCGAACAGACGAGGAGCUUGCUCCUCUGACGUUAGCGGCGGACGGGUGAGUAACACGUGGAUAACCUACCUAUAAUACGGGGAUAACUUCGGGAAACCGGAGCUAAUACCGGAUAAUAUAUUGAACCGUAUGGGUCAAUGGAAAAAGACGGCUUUGGGGGAUCGUAUAGAUGGAUCCGCGCCGGAUUAGGUAGUUGGUAAGGUAACGGCUUACCAAGGCAACGAUGCGUAGCCGACCUGAGAGGGUGAUCGGCCACACUGGAACUGAGACACGGUCCAGACUCCUACGGGAGGCAGCAGUAGGGAAUCUUCCGCAAUGGGCGAAAGCCUGACGGAGCAACGCCGCGUGAAUGAUGAAGGUCUUCGGAUCGUAAAACUCUGUUAUUAGGGAAGAACAAAUGUGUAAGUAACUAUGCACGUCUUGACGGUACCUAAUCAGAAAGCCACGGCUAACUACGUG
rnacentral:rRNA from 1 species